ACGAACGCUGGCGGCGUGCUUAACACAUGCAAGUCGCACGGAAAGGCCCUGCUUUUGUGGGGUGCUCGAGUGGCGAACGGGUGAGUAACACGUGAGUAACCUGCCCUUGACUUUAGGAUAACUUCAGGAAACUGGGGCUAAUACCGGAUAGGAGCUCCUGCUGCAUGGUGGGGGUUGGAAAGUUUCGGCGGUUGGGGAUGAACUCGCGGCUUAUCAGCUUGUUGGUGGGGUAGUGGCUUACCAAGGCUUUGACGGGUAGCCGGCCUGAGAGGGUGACCGGCCACAUUGGGACUGAGAUACGGCCCAGACUCCUACGGGAGGCAGCAGUGGGGAAUAUUGCACAAUGGGCGGAAGCCUGAUGCAGCAACGCCGCGUGCGGGAUGACGGCCUUCGGGUUGUAAACCGCUUUCGCCUGUGACGAAGCGUGAGUGACGGUAAUGGGUAAAGAAGCACCGGCUAACUACGUG
rnacentral:rRNA from 1 species